UCCAGCUCKAAUAGCGUAUAUUAAAGUUGUUGCAGUUAAAAAGCUCGGUAGUUGGAUUUCGGAAGGUCUUUAGUGGUCCGCCCCUUCGGGGAGCGGGUCACKGGCCUCCUAUGUUCCUAACGGUCCUCAUCCGMGAGGGUGGGGAAUCAACCGCUAGGAUCGUUUACUUUGAGGAAAUUAGAGUGUUCAAAGCAGGCGUAACUCGCCUCCGAAUACGUUAGCAUGGGAUAAUGGAAUACGACUUCGGUCUUGUUUCGUUGGUUUCGCUUGGCUGAAGUAAUGAUUGAUAGGGACAGUUGGGGGCAUUAGUAUUUAGUUGUCAGAGGUGAAAUUCUAGGAUUUACUAAAGACUGACCAAUGCGAAAGCAUUUGCCAAGGAUGUUUUCAUUAAUCAAGAACGAAAGUAGGGGGAUYGAAGACGAUCAGAUACCGUYGUAGUCUCUACCGUAAACUAUGCCGACCAGGGAUCCGGAGAGUUUGCAUGGAUGACUCCCCGGGCACCUUGUGAGAAAUCAUAAGUGUUUGGGUUUUGGGGGGAGUAUGGUCGCAAGGCUGAAACUAAAGGAAUUGACGAAGGGACAAUAACUUAUUGC
rnacentral:rRNA from 1 species